CUAUCGGACCACUGAGACAACAGCGGAUUACCGAUCAAGGUGUUGAGUAAAAUAUAUCUGCUCAAGGACUCUUAUUAUCACCACCGGACUCUUUCCAGAAUGGAGGGAAAAGCUUUUAUUAUAAUGUGCAUUUUUAUUGGAACAGUCCACUCGCAAAGUUCAACAACUCAGUCCACAACAGAUUCAGCAACCGACACCUCUGCAACACCCACAGCUACAACGACGUCUUCAACAACCAUUACA